GAUGAACGCUGGCGGCGUGCCUAAUACAUGCAAGUCGAGCGAACAGAUGAGGAGCUUGCUCCUCUGACGUUAGCGGCGGACGGGUGAGUAACACGUGGAUAACCUACCGAUAAGACUGGGAUAACUUCGGGAAUCCGUAGCUAAUACCGUAUAAUAUAUUGAACCGCAUGGUUCAAUAGUGAAAGACGGUUUUGCUGUCACUUAUAGAUGGAUCCGCGCCGCAGUAGCUAGUUGGUAAGGUAACGGCUUACCAAGGCGACGAUGCGUAGCCGACCUGAGAGGGUGAUCGGCCACACUGGAACUGAGACACGGUCCAGACUCCUACGGGAGGCAGCAGUAGGGCAUCUUGCAGAAUGGGCGAAAGCUUGACGGAGCAACGCCGCGUGAGUGAUGAAGGUCUUGUGAUCGUAGAACUCUGUUAUUUGGGAAGAACAAAUGUGUAAGUACCUAUGCACGUCUUGACGGUACCUGAUCAGAAAGCCACGGCUAACUACGUG
rnacentral:rRNA from 1 species